UCGCGACGGUGGUAGAAGGGUGCGGCCCACCAUCUCCCCUCUACAUUGGCCACUCCUUCCGGAUUGGAGCGGCAACCACAGCCGCUAAACAAGGGUUGCCGGUCGUGUCUAUCAAACGGCUGGGAAGGCGGUCUUCCACAGCUUACGAAUCCUACAUCCGGUCGAAUUCAUGGUUCUUCCUUCAAGCGCACACGAUGCUCUAACGUCGGUUAAGGCAGGUUCAUCACGUUUGCUACUACAGCUGUUUUUGGCGGCCUGUUUCCAUUCUAGUUUUAGUCUUUGUGUCAAGGUGUCACUUUUGUUUUUAUUAGUUUAGACACGUUCAUACUCUUUCUAGUGAUAUGUGAUAAGUAUUUUAAGAAGCUGCAUUUCUCUCACAUAGCCACAAGGGGAGCAAGACCUUAUUGAAGGCUGCUCCAUCACAGAAGGAGCCGAAGCCUUUACGUCACCCCGGCCACGCCCACCUGACGUCCUCUCUAGCGGGUGGUUUCGAACUCGAGAGGCCAGAGAUCAAUAGGUAGACGGCAGAGAGCCACCCCGGGCCUAAGCCCGGGGGCUUGAAGUAGAUCACGGUAUUUUCCUCACACGCGUUAGAUACAAUUCCCUCCGUUAAGCUUCAGUUACCAUACCGAAACAUGCCGACUUUAUAAUAAAUGAGGUCAGUUAAAAGCAUCCCGGGAUUGGACAACUUUCUUCAAGAAUAUGCAACAUAUUGAAAUUCCGUUUAGGUAUUAUCAAAGAUACAAGUGCGUAGAUUUGUUAAAUAAGAAGCAGUAUAGAUCCUUGUCCACUUCUUCUACGCGGGUAUGUAUGGUCUCAUUACCCCCUUUCGCUAUUCUAUUUUUGGGAUCGGCUCCGCCCCUGCCAGUCCCGGCAGGACAUGCCGAGUUAUCACCUAUUUCCGGCGUAGGCCUACGUCCUCUCUUUUGGGGAAGGCUCCGCCCCUGCUAGUCCUGGCAGGAUACGCCGAGUCCGCACGUCACCCUGGAUCAGUGACGGGGCUCAUGCCAAAGAUUUACCAUGGAAAAUAUUCCCAUGUCGUUAUUUAAAUAAAUCCUGUUCAUACUUAUCAGUGAUCGAGUCUUUAUGGGAGAAAUGUCUCAAUGUGGCACACCCAGAUACCUGAGAAAAACACUUCAGG
rnacentral:lncRNA from 1 species